AUACGGAGGAUCCGAGCGUUAUCCGGAUUUAUUGGGUUUAAAGGGUGCGCAGGCGGGAGAUUAAGUCGGCGGUGAAAUUUUGCAGGUCAACUGUAAAAGUGCCUUCGAAACCGGGUUCCUUGAGUGUAGAUGAAGUAGGCGGAAUUUGUGGUGUAGCGGGGAAAUGCAUAGAUAUCACGAGGAACUCCGAUUGGGCAGGCAGCUUACUAAACUACUACUGACGCUCAGGCACGAAGGCGUGGGGAUCAAACAGGAUUAGAUACCCUGGUAGUCCACGCAGUAAACGAUGAUUACUAGCUGUUUGCGAUACAAUGUAAGCGGCUGAGCGAAAGCGUUAAGUAAUCCACCUGGGGAGUACGUUCGCAAGAAUGAAACUCAAAGGAAUUGACGGGG
rnacentral:rRNA from 1 species